AAACAGAGCUGUCCUAGGGGUUCCGAAGUAGACCAAUAUGAUGGAAGGCAUGCGACAGGGUGCAUAUCCUUGGGCAAUUUCUUCUGCCUGGUGGCUCUCUAAAUCCCAGAACGUAAUAACAAUGCUGCCCUUUGAUCUCGAGUUGUUGGAUCAAUCACCAAUGUGAACAAACAAGAACGCUCUCUGCAAAUCUGAAGUUGUGCUAUAAAUUCAAUUUUAUCAAAGAAAAAAAAACCAGAAGAGACAAGCAUCUUUCAAAAGCAGAUAAGUAUCCCCUCCUAGGGAUGUAAUAUCACCAAUAAGUCCUCUUAAUGAGAGAAAAUCAUCCCCACUCCUGAUAAUUUCUGGAUCAAAGAGGGAUUUGCAAAAAGCAGCCUGCAUUGUAAUGUUUGACUAAUGGCCUAAUCCAUCAACCGGCAAGUAUUGAUGCAACCUUCAGGCCCUGCCAGGCACUGGGCACUGGAGGAUUCUGAGGAGCACAAGCUGGAACUCUGGACUCACGGCCUUGUUGGCUUCUGCUCAAUAUCCCAAAGUAAGAGACAGAUGUGCUCCUAUCUGGC